rnacentral:rRNA from 1 species
GACGAACGCUGGCGGCGUGCCUAAUACAUGCAAGUCGAACGCUUUUUCUUUCACCGGAGCUUGCUCCACCGAAAGAAAAAGAGUGGCGAACGGGUGAGUAACACGUGGGUAACCUGCCCAUCAGAAGGGGAUAACACUUGGAAACAGGUGCUAAUACCGUAUAACACUAUUUUCCGCAUGGAAGAAAGUUGAAAGGCGCUUUUGCGUCACUGAUGGAUGGACCCGCGGUGCAUUGGCUAGUUGGCGAGGUAACGGCUAACCAAGGCAACGAUGCAUAGCCGACCUGAGAGGGUGAUCGGCCACACUGGGACUGAGACACGGCCCAGACUCCUACGGGAGGCAGCAGUAGGGAAUCUUCGGCAAUGGACGAAAGUCUGACCGAGCAACGCCGCGUGAGUGAAGGAGGUUUUCGGAUCGUAAAACUCUGUUGUUAGAGAAGAACAAGGAUGAGAGUAAAAUGUUCAUCCCUUGACGGUAUCUAACCAGAAAGCCACGGCUAACUACGUGCCAGCCGCCGCCGUAA